CCUACGGGAGGCUGCAGUGGGGAAUCUUGGGCAAUGGGCGCAAGCCUGACCCAGCAACGCCGCGUGAAGGAAGAAGGCUUUCGGGUUGUAAACUUCUUUUCUCAGGGACGAAGCAAGUGACGGUACCUGAGGAAUAAGCCACGGCUAACUACGUGCCAGCAGCCGCGUUAAUACGUAGGUGGCUAGCGUUAUCCGGAUUGACGGGGUGUAAAGGGCGUGUAGGCGGGACUUCAAGUCAGAUGUGAAAACCACGGGCUCAACCUGUGGCCUGCAUUUGAAACUGUAGUUCUUGAGUGCUGGAGAGGCAGACGGAAUUCCUAGUGUAGCGGUGGAAUGCGUAGAUAUUAGGAGGAACACCAGUGGCGAAGGCGGUCUGCUGGACAGCAACUGACGCUGAGGCGCGAAAGCGUGGGGAGCGAACAGGAUUGGAUACCCCGGUAGUC
rnacentral:rRNA from 1 species